UAUUAGACCAACUAAAUAGUUGGGAAAAUUUAUUCUUUGCAAGCUUUCAGGCACAAACACCCUUCUUCAGGCAUAUUGAGAGUCUGUAGAGAAGUGGCUUAUCUUAAACCAUUUUGGUUACUUCAUGCUUGUUUUCCUUAUGGUCUCUUUAUCAACUAAAUCCAUAUGUUAAUACAAUAUACACACUAAUAACUAGGUUUAUAUACAGUAUUUGUAAAUAGUAACAGAGCAGGUCUAGUCUCCAGUUCUUUCACAAUUCUUUAUAGCAGCAAAAUUUAUUAUGAUGCUGUGUUCUUCCAUUGAUUUGCUCACAAAAUAACUUGUGACUUCAGUGAGUGUUUCACAUAUUGAAAGGUAGUAGGAUGUAGUUCAUUGUCUGUUGUUUAGGAUUUCCUGAUUUGUUACAUGACUUUAAAAGUGUGCUUAGAAGUAGGUAGAACAAUAGCUGAGAUAACCUUUUGAAAUAUACAGCUACAAAAUUUGGUCUUGCAAGCCGAAUCCCAGUAUAGUAAGUGGGACUUCCUCGAGCAGAGUAACUGCAAGAUUGCUAAGAAUGUAAAAGGCCCAAUCUGUAAAAAAAAAAAAAAUUACUCUUUACACAUUUUCUGUACAUAUUACAUUCUUUCAUGGUACUUUGCAAAGUUAAAUUUUAUGACUGUAUUUGCAUUUUACUUGCAUGUAUCCUAUUAAAUGCAGAAUUAUAAAAGAAAAAUAUAUGUCCAUAUUACUGUAGUGCAUAAAUUAUGCAGAUUAUACUUGGGUAUCUAAUGUUUAUGUCCUAAUACAGCAAUUCUCAACCUUUUGGCCCUGCAGGACAGAUGAGUAGCACAAGACUAGUCUCUGAGCCAGGUUCCUUGUGGGGUUAGUACCCAGGGUUGAGCCCUGUGCCACCCCAGCCCUGUACACCUGUAUGAGACUCUGUGCUCCUCUGGUCCCACGUGCCCAGAUUGAGCCCUGUGCUGCCUCUGCCCAAUGCCAUCACUACAUUGACCCCGUUCUACAUAAGCCCUGCUGUGUGUGCCAGGAUUUGGCCACACACCAUCCCAGCUUAAAGGUCCCCCAUCUAUCACUCAGAACCAUGUUAUCUGGCCCACCAGGCUCCCCAGAGAUCCAGAAAUCUGGUAGCAGGGAAGUGGCAACUAACACUGAGACUGCUCCCUCACCACCAAAUUUUCAGUCCCAUGGGGAGCUCUACAGGCUGGAUGAUACUGCUCUGCAAGCUGGAUCUGGCUUGCAGGCCAAGGGAUGAGCACUUCUGUCCUAGUAUAGUUGCUUCUGUUUCAGAACUUGGGCAAACUUCUGCAUUUCUAAACUGAGCAUACCAUCCACUGAAGCCUUGACUUAAAUACCACAGAGUUUUGACACUUAAAAGCCUGUGCAUAUAAACAAUCUUGAGUUUGUCUUUCCUUUGUGAUGUGGGGAAUUUUCAUGGAAAAUAACACAAUCAGUAUUAAAUAGUUGAAAAAAAAAUCAAUGCCAGAAUAUACCUCUAGAUCCAUAUUCUACCAUCAGACACAUGCAGAACUGCUUAAGUAAGCGGGACCCACACAUGUAUCUAGGUUUAGAGAUUGGUGCGUAGGUAAUAUUAUAUUUUUGAAUGCUUUGGUUGAAAAAAAAAAAAAAAAAAAAGAAGGCGGUUCCAGGGCAUAUCCUUUUAAAUUUAGAUACACUGUGGUGCAGGUAUUAAAUAUAGGUGCGAAUAGCCUAAAAUCUCCAUUUUUAAGAGUCAUUAAACUCUUAAGGGCAUAUUAAAUGUGUGCCCUUAAUGCACCUUAAAUCAGGCUAUAGUGACUUAAAUUGGUACGUGGAGAUGCACCCAAUCUCUCUUAAAGCUCUAUGAUACUUUCUUUUACAUACUACUACCACUUUAGGCCUAGAUUCCAGAAUGCAGCUAUUCUUAGGACAGCACUAAAGGAUGUAUUAAACUUAAUUGCUGUCCUGAAUGGGGAUGAAAUUAAACUCUACUUAAAUGCUUUCCUGAACCAGGACUUAAAAUGUUUCAAAUAGAUUUUCAGUAACACUUAAUUUGUUUUCUUUUCUUUUUUUUUUUUUGAUAUUUUCAAAAUAUUUUUGUCCAGAACAAAAUAACCUUCCAUUUCCUCUCACUUAAACUGCACAUAAAAAUAUCCAACUUUGCACCCUGUGUGUCAUCCUAUCACACACAACAUGAAAGUAUUUGUUAUCCCUGUAUAGACUUUCAUAUUGAAAAUCUCCAGAGAUUAGCACUUUAAAAAAAUCAAGAUACGAAUGUUAUUCUGUAGCAGAACCUCAAAUACAAUGGCCUGGCCGAGCUCACAGCUUGAAGUGCAUGUUUCUUUUGGGAAAAGUAAAAAGGCUUUUUCACUUGUAUACAGAAGAGAGCCAGCAUAUGUAGGUCUUUUCAUACUUUGGUUCCAAACUUAUUUGUAGGACACCCAAAACUAAUGAAGAGAGUUUUAAUUUUCCUUCUUUUUAAACAAGUAAUAUGUCAUUUUUUAGGGAUGAGAAAAAGUAGCCAAUGCUUUACAAACUGGGACCUGUGAUUUCUUUUUCACAGGUUAUCAGGUGUUCAAAUGUACAUACGGUAUGCUGCUGUCGAGUCCAAAUCAGACAUAAGCUGCAACUAAGCAAACUUUGUACGUGACCUAAGAAAGGAGCAGCUUAGGACAAAUCAGGAAAAAAGCAAACAAAAAGACCCUUAACGUUAGAACAGCUAAUCUAUUAUGUACUUAUAGAAAGUUCAAGAAAAGAUGUAUGGCUAGAAUAAGGGUAGAAAGAUACUGAGAUCAACUGUUAGUAAAAUGUUUGGUGCUUUCGAUGGAAUUAAAUGUCUGUAGCCUAUCUGGCAGUAUAUUUUGUUUAAUAUUUGACAAACUUUUUAUUGCCAUUUGUAUUGAACCAGAGCAAAGUGGGCUCAGUAGGGGUAAUGUCCCUACUGUGGCUGGCAGACAAAUACAUAUGCAUUAAGGACAUUCACUUCAUUUUAGCACAUCUGUGACAUCCUCCAGCCCCUCUGCUCUUAGUUUUGCUUAGGUCCUCUGCAUUGGAUCAAAUUUCCCCUUUUGGGAUUCUUUUCAAGUCCUGUUUUCUGGUAUAAUUACAUGAAUGCAUGUGUGAUUUUGUACAAGUAAGUAGUUCAGCUGCUUUAUUACAUUUUAAAAGUGAUUCUUGGCAAACCCCCCCCCCAGUACUACUUAGAAGCAGUACCAGUAAGGACUUGAGCAAAAAAGAAAACAACACCGCCCCCCC